UUGGUCUGGAUACAAACAGGAGUCCGUCCAGUGGAAAUAAUAUUGAAAUAUAAAGUUGUGCUUUCACUAAAUUGUUUGGAAAAUGGGUCCUCUAAAGGUCGUCAUCUUCAUCGCAGUUACUUUACUAUUAUCAGCUGUAACGGCCUUCGGUAGUUGUCCACCAAAGAACAAGGUGACAAAUGCUAAGCCAGUGUGUCACUCGGACGCGGACUGCCAGAAGUGGGGCCAGGUCUGCUGCCCCAACCAGUUCAAUACCAAGUCCUGCACGCACCGCGCGCCUUGGAGGAGGUAAGGUGCUGGCUGCUCAGGAGGGCUGUGUAGGAAUUUUGUGGAAAAACUCGACCAGCAAAAUGGACUCGAAGACCAAAAAACUGACCUUCUUAUAACGCUUGUUUAUAAACUAGAAACUUUAAAGCAUUAACAUAAUUUAAGCUUGUAAUACAUACCUCAAGAUUAAACAUAAGAAAAAAUGUGUUAGUAUCUGUAUUUUUUCCUUAUUAAAACGUAUUUUAUAUAACUA